rnacentral:rRNA from 1 species
GAUGAACGCUGGCGGCGUGCCUAAUACAUGCAAGUCGAGCGAACGGACGCGACGCUUGCUUCUCUGAUGUUAGCGGCGGACGUGUAAGUAACACGUGUAUAACCUACCUAUCAGUCUGGUAUCACUUCGGGAAACCGGCUCUAAUACCGUAUAAUCUUUUGAACCGCAUUGUUCAAAAGUGAAAUACGGUCUUGCUGUCACUUCUCGAUGCAUCCGCGCUGCAUUAGCUAGUUGUUAAGGUACCGGCUUACCAAGGCAACGAUGCAUAGCCGACCUGAGAGGGGGAUAGGCGACCUGGGAACGGGGACACGGUCAAGGCGCCUACGGGAGGCAGCAGUAGGGAAUCUGAGGCAAUGGGCGAAAGCCUGACGGAGCAAGGGCGAGUGAGUGAUGAAGAUCUUGGGAGCGUAAAACUCGGUUAUGAGGGAAGAACAGAUGUGGAAGGAAAUGUGCACAGAUUGACGGUACCGAAUCAGAAAGCAACGGCUAACUACGUG